CGGCAAGCUAACUUCGGUUAGCCUAGAGCGGCGGACGGGCGAGUAACACGUGGAUAAUCUACCCUCUUGUUUGGGAUAGCCUGUGGAAACAUAGAGUAAUACCAAAUAAUACUCUUUUAUCAUAAGAUGAAAGAAGGAAAGGCGCUGAGGCGCCGCAAGAGGAUGAGUCUGCGUCCCAUUAGCUAGAUGGUAGGGUAAAAGCCUACCAUGGCCAUGAUGGGUAGCCGGCCUGAGAGGGUGAUCGGCCACAUUGGAACUGAGAUACGGUCCAGACUCCUACGGGGGGCAGCAGCUAAGAAUCUUCCGCAAUGGACGAAAGUCUGACGGAGCGACGCCGCGUGAACGAUGAAGGCCGUGAGGUUGUAAAGUUCUUUUUGGGAGGAGGAAUAAGGUUUGCAGGGAAUGGCAGACUGAUGACGUUAAUCCCAGAAUAAGCACCGGCUAACUACGUGCCAGCAGCCGCGGUAACACGUAGGGUGCAAGCGUUGUUCGGAAUUAUUGGGCGUAAAGGGCGUGCAGGCGGUGUUCAAGUCUAGCGUGAAAUAUUUCGGCUUAACCGAAAAACGCGUUGAAACUGUAUACUAGAGUAUAAAAGGGGAC
rnacentral:rRNA from 1 species